UCAGACCCGAACCAAGUUUUAACCGAACUCAGCCAACCAACCGGUCUACGAGAGUUUUGUUAAUCAAGUAUGGAGUGAAAUAUAUUUAAGCUAUAGUUGGAACGUUUAAAAUAAAAGGGGAACAAAAGUGCGCGACUGAGGGAUCGAAGCUGAGACCUUUGACCCGAGCAAAACCCGCUUGACCAGCUGUGCUGGCAGCCAAUGUUAAUUAAGGAAAGGGAUGAAUAAUACUUAAGCAGUAGUUAGAUAAUAAAAUACCUAAGUUAAGAGAGGACUUAAGUUUCUCCCGUGACCUAAAACUCCCGAACCCCUCUCCUCCUCUCUCGCGAACGGCGACGGCGACGGCGACUCCACUGUUCGGGCGGAGAAGGCGACGGAGCUAGGCCUUUUUCCGGCGGUCUUCACCCAACCGUGACCACCUCGACGAGGGGAACUCGGGAACACCAAGAACUGCCGAGAUUGAAGCUUCUCCGAAACCCUAGAACCUCUCUUUCUCGGUUGUAAGUCCAAGAAAACGAAGAUAAAGGAAAAGCUAAGAUAUGAAAAGGAGGCGACAGGAUGGUGGUGGUGAUGAAGAUGUGUGAUGUUUGGACUGUGGAGAGAUCCAGAAUUAGCUGGCAAAAAAAAAUUGUCAAGACUUUAUGUUUAAUCCUUUUAGUUUUCUUAAGUGUCAUUAUGAGUUGAGACUGUAUUUAAGUUUAUUCUGCACUUGUAAUUAGUUUACUUUUAUUAUUUGUGGAGUGAUGUAGUUGGUUGCUUUUGCUA